GCCUACGGCCAUACCAGUCUGAAAGUGCCUGAUCUUGUCAGAUCUCAGAAGUUAUGCAGACUUGGGCCUGAUUAGUACUUGUAUGGGAGACUAACUAGAGACCUCAGGUGCUGUAAGCU
rnacentral:rRNA from 1 species